CAGGCUUAACACAUGCAAGUCGAGGGGCAGCAUGGUCUUAGCUUGCUAAGGCCGAUGGCGACCGGCGCACGGGUGAGUAACACGUAUCCAACCUGCCGUCUACUCUUGGACAGCCUUCUGAAAGGAAGAUUAAUACAAGAUGGCAUCAUGAGUCCGCAUGUUCACAUGAUUAAAGGUAUUCCGGUAGACGAUGGGGAUGCGUUCCAUUAGAUAGUAGGCGGGGUAACGGCCCACCUAGUCUUCGAUGGAUAGGGGUUCUGAGAGGAAGGUCCCCCACAUUGGAACUGAGACACGGUCCAAACUCCUACGGGAGGCAGCAGUGAGGAAUAUUGGUCAAUGGGCGAGAGCCUGAACCAGCCAAGUAGCGUGAAGGAUGACUGCCCUAUGGGUUGUAAACUUCUUUUAUAAAGGAAUAAAGUCGGGUAUGCAUACCCGUUUGCAUGUACUUUAUGAAUAAGGAUCGGCUAACUCCGUGCCAGCAGCCGCGGUAAUACGGAGGAUCCGAGCGUUAUCCGGAUUUAUUGGGUUUAAAGGGAGCGUAGAUGGAUGUUUAAGUCAGUUGUGAAAGUUUGCGGCUCAACCGUAAAAUUGCAGUUGAUACUGGAUAUCUUGAGUGCAGUUGAGGCAGGCGGAAUUCGUGGUGUAGCGGUGAAAUGCUUAGAUAUCACGAAGAACUCCGAUUGCGAAGGCAGCCUGCUAAGCUGCAACUGACAUUGAGGCUCGAAAGUGUGGGUAUCAAACAGGAUUAGAUACCCUGGUAGUCCACACGGUAAACGAUGAAUACUCGCUGUUUGCGAUAUACGGCAAGCGGCCAAGCGAAAGCGUUAAGUAUUCCACCUGGGGAGUACGCCGGCAACGGUGAAACUCAAAGGAAUUGACGGGGGCCCGCACAAGCGGAGGAACAUGUGGUUUAAUUCGAUGAUACGCGAGGAACCUUACCCGGGCUUAAAUUGCAGAUGAAUUACGGUGAAAGCCGUAAGCCGCAAGGCAUCUGUGAAGGUGCUGCAUGGUUGUCGUCAGCUCGUGCCGUGAGGUGUCGGCUUAAGUGCCAUAACGAGCGCAACCUUUGUUGUCAGUUACUAACAGGUUCCGCUGAGGACUCUGACAAGACUGCCAUCGUAAGAUGUGAGGAAGGUGGGGAUGACGUCAAAUCAGCACGGCCCUUACGUCCGGGGCUACACACGUGUUACAAUGGGGGGUACAGAGGGCCGCUACCACGCGAGUGGAUGCCAAUCCCAAAAACCUCUCUCAGUUCGGACUGGAGUCUGCAACCCGACUCCACGAAGCUGGAUUCGCUAGUAAUCGCGCAUCAGCCACGGCGCGGUGAAUACGUUCCCGGGCCUUGUACACACCGCCCGUCAAGCCAUGGGAGCCGGGGGUACCUGAAGUGCGUAACCGCGAGGAGCGCCCUAGGGUAAAACUGGUGACUGG
rnacentral:rRNA from 1 species